GACGAACGCUGGCGGCGUGCUUAACACAUGCAAGUCGAACGGAAAGGCCCUGCUUUUGUGGGGUGCUCGAGUGGCGAACGGGUGAGUAACACGUGUGUAACCUGCCCUUGACUUUGGGAUAACUUCGGGAAACUGGGGCUAAUACCGGCUAGGAGCUCCUGCUGCAUGGUGGGGGUUGGAUAGUUUCGGCGGUUGGGGAUGGACUCGCGGCUUAUCAGCUUGUUGGUGGGGUAGUGGCUUACCAAGGCUUUGACGGGUAGCCGGCCUGAGAGGGUGACCGGCCACAUUGGGACUGAGAGACGGCCCAGACUCCUACGGGAGGCAGCAGUGGGGAAUAUUGCAAAAUGGGCGGAAGCCUGAUGCAGCAACGCCGCGUGCGGGAUGACGGCCUUCGGGUUGUAAACCGCUUUCGCCUGUGACGAAGCGUGAGUGACGGUAAUGGGUAAAGAAGCACCGGCUAACUACGUG
rnacentral:rRNA from 1 species